CGGCGGCGGGGGCCCUGGGAAGAGUUCUCUUUUCUUCUUAACAGCCUAUCACCCUGAAAUCGGUUUGUCCGGAGCUAGGGUUUAACGGUUGGUAGAGCCUGACACCUUUGUCAGGUCUGGUGCGCUCUCGACGUCCCUUGAAAAUCCGCGGGAAGGAAUAA
rnacentral:ncRNA from 1 species